rnacentral:lncRNA from 10 species
AAACACAAUAAGGUAUUUUUAUCUCCAAUUUUACAAGAGGAAAUUGAGGCUCAGUAAAAAAUAAUGACUUCCCAAACAUCGUACAGAUAGUAAGUGGGAUUCAAAUUUACCUCUGUUUGACUCUAGAACCUGUGUUCUUUCUAGUAAACCAGGCUGAGAUUAAACAGAAGAGAAACCCGGUAUUCUUAUCAGUGAAGACUAGAUGCUCUAUUAGGAAGCCCUGCAAAAGAGGUGCUGAAGAAAGAAGCAAGAGUUUAGUUACACGUUUAUGAUUUGUUGGGUUGAAAGUGGCCUUCCAAGAAAAUGGUCUUUGUGAUCUGCUUAGGAAAGAGUGGUCAAAAAUUAACUAUUCUAUGACCAAGGGCACCAUUUCUGGCAGCCACCUUCCAACUUUGUCCAGGUUUAUACCCAGACUGGCACUUGAGAACACGGAGAUAAUUUAUAACUUAUCCCUAGAUGAAACCCAAUCACUAGUGACUUCGCACCUGAGAUGCAUCAUUGUGAGUACCUGCAGAAGGAUUUCUACCAAAUCACACACUUCGAUGGGACCUUGAUUAAUGAAGAGUGUUACAGAAAUGUCCUUUGAAGCUUGUCACUUCAUUUAGUCCAAAGCUGUCACAAAGACAUUAUUUUUUGCAUUACCUGGCCUUCUCUCUUAGAAGACCUACUGGAGAAAUCCCACUCUGGUCUCAGUAGCAGAAGAAUUUGGACUUGUCUAAGCAGUGGAUUUGUAUUUUAUCUUCUUUAUGAUGGGAAUAAUUUUACCCUUCCUCUUCAUAAAUCUCCUUGAAAUUUUUAACUCAGCUCAUCUCUAACAUGCACAUAAAAUUUCAAGAAAUGUGAUUUGUGUAUUCACCAUGCUCCUGGCUCCAUCCUGUGCUUCUACCGUUUUCCCUUUGCCUUAUUUUAUUUAUUUAUUUUUUUACCUGUUUGACCUUGUUGUACUACAUACUCCUUUGUAAGCUAUCUUAAAUCCUUUCCAGUGCCAGCAGGGAUGUACUUAAGUACAUAAAUUAGUCAAUGGAGGACCACCUGUGACCUAGAUAUAGCUUCACGAGGACCCCUCGCUGCCCAGGGGACCCACUCACAUAUCUAGGACUCAUCUGCACAGAUUUCCCGGUGCUGACUGGAGAGAAAAUCGGCAUCAUGUAUCCCAUUAAUAUGCUAGCUGCUGGUACGGUCUGAGUGUUGUCCUGGUCUGUACUUUAACAGGAGCCACCAACGCCUCACUUUAUACGAAUAAGGUGAGAAUUUCAAGUGCCAUAGCAAAGCCAGGAGAACGGUAUGUAGGGGAGAAGGGCCACUAAAUUAGGGUUUGUCCAACUGCAGAUCCCAAUCUAUUAGAGGAUUGUAAAAUUAGGGUUAUAACUAACAUUUUUUUCUUGAAAAAUUUCAAGGUUUUAUGGAAGUGUAGUCUUGUGGAAAAUAAGUAUAACAUAAACAACAGAGUGCAUUGCAUGGAGUGAGGGUAAGGAUUUAUUCAUAAAACUUUGGUGUGUGUGUCUGCUGGGUCACAAUAAAAACAUAUUUCUUAGUAUGGAUUAUGAAAACUUCCUUAAAUAAUAUCACAUAAGGGUGUGCCUAUUCUAUCUAUACAUAAAACAGGCCUUGGGCCUUGAUAUGGUUUGGCUCUGUGUCCCCAUCCAAAUCUCACCUUGAAUUGUAACAAUCCCCACAUGUCAAGGGCAGGACUGGGUAGAGGUAAUUGGAUCAUGGGGGCAGUUUCUGCCAUGCCGUUCUUGUGAUAGUGAGUGAGUCUCAAGAGAUCUGAUGGUUUUAUAAGCAUGUGGCAUUUCCCCUGCUUGCACUCAUUCUCUUUCCUGCUGCCCUGUGAAGAGGUAUCUUCUGCCAUGAUUGGAAGUUUCUUGAGGACUCCCCAGCCAUGCAAACUGUGAGUCAAUUAAAUCUCUUUUCUUUAUAAAUUAUCCAGUGUCAGGUAUUUCUUUGUAGCAAUGUGAGAAUGGACUAAUAUAGUAAAUGGUCAGACUCAAUCCUCACUCAGAAACUGUACCACACAAACAAAAUUCCACAUAGCAAAUACUCACUUUCCCAACAGAAUGUUUUCUCAUUGAUGACUUCUCAUUAAUACGUUUUUGUGCACCAUAUUAGUCAGGGUUUUCUAGAGAAACCGAACCAAUAGGAUUUGUGUGGGUGUGUAUAUAUAUAUAUAUAUAUAUAUAUAUAUAUAUAUAUAUAUAUAUAUAUACACACACACACACACACACACACACACAUAUGUAUAUAUACACACACACACACACAUAUCUCCAGAGAGAGAGGGAGAGAGAUUGUAUAUAUACAAUCUAUGUGUGUCUGUCUAUACAUGUGUGUAUACACAAACACACACAAAUCCUAUUGGUUCUGUUUCUCUAGAAAACCCUGACUACUAUGGUGCACAAAAACCUGUUAAUGUUUUUGUCUCAAGGAGACAAAUGUCAAUUAAUAUCUCAAGGCGAGAAAGGUAGAGAGAUUGAGAUUCCUUUAAGGAACUGGCUCUCAGUUGUGGAGACUUGGCAAGUCCAAAAUCUUCAGCAUAGGCUGGAGACCCAGGGAAGACCUGCAGUUCCAGGCCAAAGGCAAACUACAGGCAGAAUCCUUUCUCCCUCAUCAGAGUCAGUCUAAGGCCUUCAACGGACUGUUUGAGGCCCACUCCCACUAUGACGGGUAUCUGCUUUACUCACAGUCAAGUGAUUUAAAUGGUAAUAUUUCCUAUUUGAGCAGCACUGCAGAGAAGGGACUGGCUGGACAAUUCCUUCCGGCCUUGGAAAUGGCUGGCAAAUAAAUAAAUAAAUAAGGAAUGUUAAUCUCAUCCAAAAACACCUGCACAGACACAUCCAGAAUAAUGUUUGAUCAAAUCUGUCCCCAUGGCCCAGCCAAGGUGACACAUAACAUUAACCAUCACAUGCCCCUCAGUUUAGAUUCACAGAACCAGAGAAAAAUAGUGGGCUUUGCCUACACAACUGAAGUUAUUGUGGCCAUUAAGACCAGAUCCUAAACAGGC